rnacentral:rRNA from 1 species
GACGAACGCUGGCGGCGUGCUUAACACAUGCAAGUCGAACGGUGAAGCGCCUUCCUUUUUGGUGGGUGUGGAUGAGUGGCCAACGGGUGAGUAACACGUGAGUAACCUGCCCCCUUCUUCUGGAUAACCGCAUGAAAGUGUUGCUAAUACGGGAUAUUCUGGGUCUGUCGCAUGAUGGGUCUGGGACAGUCAUUGUUUCGGUUGGGGAUGGGCGCGCGGCCUAUCAGCUUGUUGGUGGGGUGAUGGCCUACCAAGGCGGUGACGGGUAGCCGGCCUGAGAGGGUGGACGGUACCGGAGGGGAGGAGAGGCGGCGCAGACUACUAGGGGCGGCAGCAGUGGAGAAUAGUGCACAAUGGGAGGAAGGAUGAUGCAGCGACGCGGCGGGAGGGAUGGUGGCCUGCGGGUUGUGAUCUUCUUUCGCGAGUGAAGCAGGCCUGCCUCGUGUGUGGGUGGGUUGACGGUAGCUGGAGAAGAAGCGCCGGCUAACUACGUG